rnacentral:rRNA from 1 species
AGAAGAUGACGAGUGGCGGACGGGUGAGUAAUGCUUGGGAACUUGCCUUUGCGAGGGGGAUAACAGUUGGAAACGACUGCUAAUACCGCAUAAUGUCUUCGGACCAAACGGGGCUUCGGCUCCGGCGCAAAGAGAGGCCCAAGUGAGAUUAGCUAGUUGGUAAGGUAACGGCUUACCAAGGCGACGAUCUCUAGCUGUUCUGAGAGGAAGAUCAGCCACACUGGGACUGAGACACGGCCCAGACUCCUACGGGAGGCAGCAGUGGGGAAUAUUGCACAAUGGGGGAAACCCUGAUGCAGCCAUGCCGCGUGUGUGAAGAAGGCCUUCGGGUUGUAAAGCACUUUCAGUUGUGAGGAAAAGUUAGUAGUUAAUACCUGCUAGCCGUGACGUUAACAACAGAAGAAGCACCGGCUAACUCCGUGCCAGCAGCCGCGGUAAUACGGAGGGUGCGAGCGUUAAUCGGAAUUACUGGGCGUAAAGCGCACGCAGGCGGUAUGUUAAGCUAGAUGUGAAAGCCCCGGGCUCAACCUGGGAUGGUCAUAUAGAACUGGCAGACUAGAGUCUUGGAGAGGGGAGUGGAAUUCCAUGUGUAGCGGUGAAAUGCGUAGAUAUCUGGAGGAACAUCAGUGGCGAAGGCGACUCCCUGGGCCAAAGACUGACGCUCAUGUGCGAAAGUGUGGGUAGCGAACAGGAUUAGAUACCCUGGUAGUCCACACCGUAAACGCUGUCUACUAGCU